rnacentral:lncRNA from 1 species
UCCUCAUAUGUCACAAAGUUGUAACAGUGCCAACCCUUACAAGGUCAGUUCCAACCCUGCCUCCUUCAGUAGUCUAUAUACUCUACUCUACUCUCCAAUGUCCUUCUGAGGAUAUCAGUACUUCCAAACAUUUCAUUUCUUUCUGCUGCUGAGGGACCUUGGAAAUAUCCUGAGUCACUGUCUAAGACUGGAAAAAUCCUACCAGGUCUGUUCCAGUUACUCAUUCUGAAUUCGGUGUUAAAGAUACUUCAAGUUCUGGGAAGACAACUGGCUGAUCCUAGGCCUCAUUUUGCCAGGACUCCUACAGAUAGUACGCUAGAGGAUGCUGUGUGCUGUACUGAGUAGAGGUCAGCCUCCUGGACCAAACGCAUGGCAGAAAAGGACCAAACGCAUGGUAGAAAAGGACCAAACACACGGCAGAAAAGAAUGGAAAUGAGGCGGGGAGACCAAGGAAGAAUAACCAGCACACUGGUCUUUCUCUUGUGCAAGGAUGUGCCACUGUAACCAUAGGAUAUUUCUUUACACAUCUGCAACUGGUUCUCUCAAGGCUGGAAAGGAUUAGAAAUUCUAGAAGAUGGAGUCUAGUCUACGCACAAUUCAAAUUAAAGACCCCUCACACCCCGCCCCUGGGUUUAGAGUUCCAUAGCUCCAACAUAGAAGUGAAACAUUUUCCCCUGGA